rnacentral:tRNA from 1 species
GGAGGAUACAGCUCAGUGGUAGAGCACAUGCCUAGCAUGCGCAAGGUCCUGGGUUCAAUCCCUAGUACCUCCA